CCUACGGGUGGCAGCAGUAGGGAAUAUUGCUCAAUGGGGGAAACCCUGAAGCAGCAACGCCGCGUGGAGGAUGAAGGUCUUAGGAUUGUAAACUCCUUUUGUGAGAGAAGAUAAUGACGGUAUCUCACGAAUAAGUACUGGCUAACUCCGUGCCAGCAGCCGCGGUCAUACGGAGGGUGCAAGCGUUACUCGGAAUCACUGGGCGUAACGGGUGCGCAGGUGGGCGUGUAAGUCAGAUGUGAAAUCCUGUAGCUUAACUACGGAACUGCAUUUGACACUAGGGGUCUAGAGUGUGGGAGGGGAGGGUGGAAUUCUUGGUGUAGGGGUAAAAUCCGUAGAUAUCAAGAGGAAUACUCAUUGCGAAGGCGACCGACUGGGACGUAACUGACGCUCAUGCACGAAAGCGUGGGGAGCAAACAGGAUUAGAUACCCGAGUAGUC
rnacentral:rRNA from 1 species